CCUACGGGAGGCAGCAGUGAGGAAUAUUGGGCAAUGCCCGAAAGGGUGACCCAGCAACGCCGCGUGGAGGAUGAAGUCCUUCUGGACGUAAACUCCUUUUAGAGGGGACGAAAAGUCCGAUUUGUCGGGAAUUGACGGUACCCUCAGAAAAAGCACCGGCUAACUACGUGCCAGCAGCCGCGGUAAUACGUAGGUGCAAGCGUUGUCCGGAUUCACUGGGUGUAAAGGGUGCGCAGGCGGGCUCUUAAGUCAAAGGUAAAAUCUCUCGGCUUAACCGAGAAAUUGCCUUUGAUACUGAGAGCUUUGAGUACGGGAGAGGGAGAUGGAAUUCCAGGUGUAGCGGUGAAAUGCGUAGAUAUCUGGAGGAACACUGAAGGCGAAGGCGGUCUCCUGGCCCGUUACUGACGCUCAGGCACGAAAGCGUGGGGAGCAAACAGGAUUAGAUCCCCUUGUAGU
rnacentral:rRNA from 1 species